rnacentral:rRNA from 1 species
UACGGGGGGUGCGAGCGUUGUCCGGAAUCACUGGGCGUAAAGGGCGCGUAGGUGGUUUGAUAAGGGUGUGGUGAAAGUCCGGGGCUCAACCCCGGAUCUGCCGUGCCGACUGUCAAACUCGAGGGCUGUAGAGGCAGACGGAAUUCCGGGUGUAGCGGUGGAAUGCGUAGAGAUCCGGAAGAACACCGGUGGCGAAGGCGGUCUGCUGGGCAGUUGCUGGACACUGAGGCGCGACAGCGUGGGGAGCAAACAGG